rnacentral:rRNA from 1 species
GGCGUCGACCGGCGCACGGGUGAGUAACGCGUAUCCAACCUGCCCACCACUUGGGGAUAACCUUGCGAAAGUAAGACUAAUACCCAAUGACGUCUCUAGAAGACAUCUGAAAGAGAUUAAAGAUUUAUCGGUGAUGGAUGGGGAUGCGUCUGAUUAGCUUGUUGGCGGGGUAACGGCCCACCAAGGCGACGAUCAGUAGGGGUUCUGAGAGGAAGGUCCCCCACAUUGGAACUGAGACACGGUCCAAACUCCUACGGGAGGCAGCAGUGAGGAAUAUUGGUCAAUGGACGAGAGUCUGAACCAGCCAAGUAGCGUGCAGGAUGACGGCCCUAUGGGUUGUAAACUGCUUUUAUAAGGGAAUAAAGUGAGUCUCGUGAGACUUUUUGCAUGUACCUUAUGAAUAAGGACCGGCUAAUUCCGUGCCAGCAGCCGCGGUAAUACGGAAGGUCCGGGCGUUAUCCGGAUUUAUUGGGUUUAAAGGGAGCGUAGGCCGGAGAUUAAGCGUGUUGUGAAAUGUAGACGCUCAACGUCUGAACUGCAGCGCGAACUGGUUUCCUUGAGUACGCACAAAGUGGGCGGAAUUCGUGGUGUAGCGGUGAAAUGCUUAGAUAUCACGAAGAACUCCGAUUGCGAAGGCAGCUCACUGGAGCGCAACUGACGCUGAAGCUCGAAAGUGCGGGUAUCGAACAGGAUUAGAUACCCUGGUAGUCCGCACGGUAAACGAUGGAUGCCCGCUGUUGGUCUGAACAGGUCAGCGGCCAAGCGAAAGCAUUAAGCAUCCCACCUGGGGAGUACGCCGGCAACGGUGAAACUCAAAGGAAUUGACGGGGGCCCGCACAAGCGGAGGAACAUGUGGUUUAAUUCGAUGAUACGCGAGGAACCUUACCCGGGCUUGAAUUGCAGAGGAAGGAUUUGGAGACAAUGACGCCCUUCGGGGCCUCUGUGAAGGUGCUGCAUGGUUGUCGUCAGCUCGUGCCGUGAGGUGUCGGCUUAAGUGCCAUAACGAGCGCAACCCCUCUCCUUAGUUGCCAUCAGGUCAAGCUGGGCACUCUGGGGACACUGCCACCGUAAGGUGUGAGGAAGG